AAGUCGUAACAAGGUUUCCGUAGGUGAACCUGCGGAAGGAUCAUUAACAAUUAUGAGAAAAAUAGAGAUGAAAUAAACCGUAAGGUUUAUGAAUCUCUAUUUUUCUUGAUACAAUGAUAUCCACCCUUUCAAAUGUGAAACUGUUUAAACGUAGUUUAUGACUUUCUGGUUGGGUGUUUUGAAUCUUUUGAGAUUUGAAACGAUAAAUUGCCUGCCAGAAGGUUUUCUGUUUAAAACCAACCUAGCUAAAUUAUUUGUUGAAUUAACUGAUCAUUCUUUAUGGGAUGAAUAAACUUAAUACAACUUGCAACAAUGGAUCUCUUGGCUCUU
rnacentral:misc_RNA from 1 species